rnacentral:rRNA from 1 species
GCGCAGCAGGCGAGAAACCUCCGCAAUACACGAAAGUGUGACGGGGCCAUCCCGAGUGCCGUCUGCUGAGGACGGCUUUUCCCCAGUGUACACAGCUGGGGGAAUAAGGAGAGGGCAAGCCUGGUGUCAGCCGCCGCGGUAAUACCAGCUCUCCGAGUGGUGGGGACGCUUAUUGGGCCUAAAACAUCCGUAGCCGGCUGGGCAAGUCCUCCGUUAAAUCCAACGAUUCAAUCGUUGGGCUGCGGGGGAUACUGUCCAGCUUGGGGGGCGGGAGAGGCCGACGGUAUUCCCGGGGUAGGGGUGAAAUCCUAUAAUCCCGGGAGGACCACCAGUGGCGAAGGCUGUCGGCUAGAACGCGCCCGACGGUGAGGGAUGAAAGC